CGGCCAGACUCCUACGGGAGGCAGCAGUGGGGAAUAUUGCACAAUGGGGGAAACCCUGAUGCAGCGACGCCGCGUGAGUGAAGAAGUAUUUCGGUAUGUAAAGCUCUAUCAGCAGGGAAGAAAUACUGACCAUAGGGUCAGCAGACGGUACUUGACUAAGAAGCCCCGGCUAACUACGUGCCAGCAGCCGCGGUAAUACGUAGGGGGCAAGCGUUAUCCGGAUUUACUGGGUGUAAAGGGAGCGUCGACGGCAGCGCAAGUCUGAAGUGAAAUGCCAGGGCUUAACCCUGGAACUGCUUUGGAAACUGGGCAGCUAGAGUGCAGGAGAGGGAAGUGGAAUUUCUAGUG
rnacentral:rRNA from 1 species